AUUACUGAGCGCUCCAUCUCAUUCCCAGCUGAUCAAUGAGAGCGUGGACGAAGCCGACAUGGAGAAUGCUGGACACCCCAGCGCAGACACGCCAACCGCAACGAACUAUUUCCUCCAGUAUAUCAGUUCCAGUUUAGAGAACUCAACCAAUAGUGCCGACGCCUCCAGCAACAAAUUUGUAUUUGGCCAGAACAUGAGCGAGCGAGUUUUGAGCCCCCCAAAAUUAAACGAGGUCAGUUCAGAUGCCAACAGGGAAAAUGCAGCUGCCGAGUCAGGGUCUGAGUCCUCGUCCCAGGAGGCCACCCCUGAGAAAGAGUCCCUGGCUGAGUCGGCAGCCGCCUACACCAAGGCAACAGCGCGGAAGUGUUUGUUGGAAAAAGUGGAAGUCAUCACCGGGGAGGAG
rnacentral:sRNA from 1 species